UUAUUAUGAGAGUUUGAUCCUGGCUCAGGACGAACGCUGGCGGCGUGCCUAAUACAUGCAAGUCGAACGCUUCUUUCCUCCCGAGUGCUUGCACUCAAUUGGAAAGAGGAGUGGCGGACGGGUGAGUAACACGUGGGUAACCUACCCAUCAGAGGGGGAUAACACUUGGAAACAGGUGCUAAUACCGCAUAACAGUUUAUGCCGCAUGGCAUAAGAGUGAAAGGCGCUUUCGGGUGUCGCUGAUGGAUGGACC
rnacentral:rRNA from 1 species